AGUGGCGCACGGGUGAGUAACACGUAGGUAAUCUACCUUCGGAUGGGGAAUAACAACCGGAAACGGUUGCUAAUACCGCAUAAUGCAGCGGCACCUAAUGGUGACAGUUGUUAAAGCGGGGGAUCGCAAGACCUCGCGUCUGAAGAGGAGCCUGCGGCGGAUUAGCUAGUUGGCAGGGUAACGGCCUACCAAGGCAACGAUCCGUAGCCGGCCUGAGAGGGCGGUCGGCCACACUGACACUGACAUACGGGUCAGACUCCUACGGGAGGCAGCAGUCGGGAAUUUUGGGCAAUGGGCGAAAGCCUGACCCAGCAACGCCGCGUGAAGGAUGAAAUCCCUCGGGAUGUAAACUUCGCAAGAACGGGGAGAAUAAGUCUAAGUUAAUACCUUAGGCGAUGACGGUACCGUUUGUAAGCUCCGGCUAACUCCGUGCCAGCAGCCGCGGUAAUACGGGGGGAGCAAGCGUUGUUCGGAUUUACUGGGCGUAAAGGGCGCGUAGGCGGCCACCGCAAGUCAAUUGUGAAAUCUCCGGGCUUAACUCGGAAAGGUCAACUGAUACUGCGGGGCUAGAGUGCGGAAGGGGCAACUGGAAUUCUCGGUGUAGCGGUGAAAUGCGUAGAUAUCGAGAGGAACACCUGCGGCGAAAGGCGGGUUGCUGGGCCGACACUGACGCUGAGGCGCGAAAGCUAGGGGAGCGAACGGGAUUAGAUACCCCGGUAGUCCUAGCCUUAAACGAUGGAUGCUUGGUGUCUGGGGUUAUAAAGUCCCCGGGUGCCGUCGCUAACGCUUUAAGCAUUCCGCCUGGGGGAGUACGGUCGCAAGACUGAAACUCAAAGGAAUUGACGGGGACCCGCACAAGCGGUGGAGCAUGUGGUUUAAUUCGACGCAACGCGAAGAACCUUACCUGGGCUAGAAUGCCUCUGACAACCCCAGAGAUGGGGCCUCCAGGGUAAAACCUGGCAGAGUGCAAGGUGCUGCAUGGCUGUCGUCAGCUCGUGUCGUGAGAUGUUGGGUUAAGUCCCGCAACGAGCGCAACCCUUAUCAAUAGUUGCCAGCGGUUCGGCCGGGCACUCUAUUGAGACUGCCGUUGACAAAACGGAGGAAGGUGGGGAUGACGUCAAGUCCUCAUGGCCUUUAUGUCCAGGGCUACACACGUGCUACAAUGGCCGGUACAAAGCGCUGCAAACCUGCAAGGGGGAGCCAAUCGCAAAAAGCCGGUCUCAGUUCGGAUUGGAGUCUGCAACUCGACUCCAUGAAGUUGGAAUCGCUAGUAAUCGCAGAUCAGCAUGCUGCGGUGAAUACGUUCCCGGGUCUUGCA
rnacentral:rRNA from 1 species